rnacentral:piRNA from 1 species
UAGCCCAGAGCUUGAGUCUUCCAGGCUAACU